UAAAAAAAAAAAAAAAACUAAUCUAGCUCAAGAGAGGUUAAUGCCUCAUUUUUCAUCACUAGGAGGCUAGAUUACAUACAAGCCCUUUUUUUGAACAUUUUCGAAAGUUGCUGAUUAGUUCAGUUUGCUAUUGAUUCCAUAUAAACUUUUUUCUUUUUCCUUUAAUUUUUAUUUACUUUUCCUAUUAGCGAAUCUGCUAAUGAAGUGUCUGUAAACAGAAAUCAAAGGACAUUCCGCCCCAAAAAGAGUGCACCAUCAGGAAGUAAGGGUGCACAACUUAGAAAGCACAUUGAUGCCACCCUAGGCAGCGGAAACCUGAGGGAAGCUGUAAGACUUCCUCCUGGGGAGGAUUUGAACGAGUGGCUUGCUGUAAACACUGUGGAUUUCUUCAACCAGGUGAAUCUUCUCUAUGGGACCCUCACAGAGUUUUGUACUCCGGAGAACUGUUCUACAAUGUCUGCAGGCCCCAAGUACGAGUAUAGAUGGGCAGAUGGCGUACAAAUCAAGAAACCUAUUGAAGUUUCUGCUCCAAAAUAUGUUGAAUAUUUAAUGGACUGGAUUGAAGCUCAGCUUGAUGAUGAAUCGAUAUUUCCUCAAAAGCUUGGUGCACCGUUUCCCCCCAACUUCAAGGAGGUUGUCAAGACGAUAUUCAAACGACUUUUCCGUGUAUAUGCUCACAUUUAUCACUCUCACUUUCAGAAAAUUGUGAGCCUCAAAGAGGAAGCCCAUCUGAACACAUGCUUCAAGCAUUUCAUAUUGUUUACCUAUGAAUUUGGGUUAAUUGACAAGAAGGAGCUUGCACCUCUCCAGGAGCUUAUAGAAUCCAUAAUCGUUCCUUACUGAAUAGGGGUAUGUGUAAUUGUGAGUCCCAAGAAAUAUUUUAUAUUAGAGAUACAUAUUAAAACUGAAUAAAUAAUAUUAGAGAUAAAUGUGAGCUGAAUAAGUACUCUUGUGAGUCUGUGAUUAGCAAUUUGACUUUGCAGUCUCCUGUACUGUUACUGGAAAAAAUUGUGUUAUAUGGUUGCCUUUCAUUUUCUCUAGUUAUUUCAGCAGCAAUUUUUUUUUUCUAUAAUUAGUACUUAAACUUAAAACUUCAUAAUUCUGAAUG
rnacentral:misc_RNA from 1 species